rnacentral:rRNA from 1 species
UAGAGUUUGAUCCUGGCUCAGAAUCAACGCUGGCGGCGUGCCUAACACAUGCAAGUCGAGCGAGAAAAGGGGAGCAAUCCCCUGAGUACAGCGGCGCACGGGUGAGUAACACGUGGGUAAUCUGCCCUGGAGUGGGGAAUAACACCGGGAAACCGGUGCUAAUACCGCAUACGAUCAUAAGAUCUGCGGAUUUUGUGAUGAAAGGAGCAAUUCGCUCUAGGAGGAGCCCGCGGCUGAUUAGCUAGUUGGUGAGGUAAUGGCUCACCAAGGCAACGAUCAGUAUCCGGUCUGAGAGGACGGUCGGACACACUGGAACUGAGACACGGUCCAGACUCCUACGGGAGGCAGCAGUGGGGAAUUUUUGGCAAUGGGGGCAACCCUGACCAAGCAACGCCGCGUG